rnacentral:tRNA from 1 species
ACUUAAAUAGCUUAUUUAGAGUAUAAUAUUGAAGAUAUUAAGGAGAUUGUUUAAUCUUUAAGUA